UGUAAUUCCGUCACCUCUGUCUUUCAUUAAAGGUAUAUAAGAGCUGCAUUAAGCUGUCACACAGUCCAGCCGACAGCGACUCAUCCUACUCAGAGAGACGAGUGACAUCAGGCCCAAACAGACUCACCGCUGCAGCUGAAACAGCUAGUCCAACCUCAAGCCGAGAUCAAGAUGCCCACCACCACCAGAAUCAUCUCUGACACCCUGAAGACCGACAAAGGUAAGAAAAUCAAAGGUGGAAACGCACCCACAAAGAAGAUCCCAGAGUAUGAGCCAAACCUCCCUGAACCCAAAUGCAGAGCUGAUCUCAUCAAACGUAAGAAGAUGUUUUUUCUUUUGUUGUUAAUAUGUUUUAGUCCAAACAGGAUGUUGUGUUAAAUAACAGCUUAUUCAUAUUCUUUCAGACUGGAUUACUUUGUCUUUUGAUGACAAGACAGCCAAUAAGAUGCUAUGGAUCACAGAUGGUGGUGCUAAAGUGGCCCGUAUGACUGAUGAUGUUACUUGUCCUGUCUUGGACA